GUUCUCAGAGCACAGAGGAUCUUAGGGCAAUGAAGCUAUUCUGUGUGAUACUACAAUGCAUCUGGCCCUGAGACAGGGAGCCCCGCACAAGCCAAGAGAGGAGGUGUCCUCCUCCGCCCACGACGUACAUUUCCUGCUUGGAGAGUGGAGAGAGAGAGAGUGAGAGAGAGAACACAAGCAAGGGGAAGUGCAGGGCUCGAUCUCAGGACCCUGGGAUCAAGUGACUGGAGCUGAAGGCAGGGUAUGUCAUUGGCCUAGACGGUUGGUGUUUAAGGCGAUCCUGAUUCUCUCUGUUCCCACUCUGCUCCGCUCGCUCCCAGUAAACAGGAAUCGUUGGCAGAAGAUCUUUGGAACGUGGAUACACUAUACAUGCCUGGACAGUGCGGAGUCACGUGGUCCACGCACCCAGCCUCUCGUGCUUUAUCAGGCAUGGUGUUUACGUUACUUUCUAUCCCUUUUCAGUGAAACUUAUGGGGGGAAAAUGAUGCAGCACUGGGGAUGUUUUGCCUUCCGGGCCCCAAAGCAUUUCCUCCCACACGUGCUGGUGAAGACUCAUGUUUAUGAAUAAAU
rnacentral:lncRNA from 1 species